UAAACUGAUGCUUGUGUUUAUUCACAUUGACCAAAGACUUGACCUUGUUCUCUCCUCGAAUAUUUCUGCCACAAGAUAUUGGAGGAUAUAGUUUGAAGGCUCUCCUUCCCCACUGCGUUUAGAAAAACGAAAUUCUAAAUGCAGGUGAUGCAAUAUUAAUCGCGGUUUGCUGAUAUAAAAUGCAAUAUUUUCCGACAGCUGGUGGGGUUUCGGGGAGCCGUCAGACAGCUAGUGGGGUUUCGGGAAGCCAUCAGAUGAAAGCACUAGUCUCGGCUGUAGACUAGAAAAACGCGUUUAUUACUUUUGUUUGGCUUUUGGCUAAGAGAGGAGAGAAGGAACACUGUAACAAGCCCGUCUCUACAGCUCGCGCCACUCCACUCGGGCAGAACACCGCGCCAUGCAGCCUGCACCUCACGCAACUGCAAUAAUUCAGCCUGGUGAACAGCUCCCUUGCAGAUUGAAGAGUAAUGCAUUAUUGAAAGGCUUUAUAUCAAACAGCUCGAGGGGGGGGCUGUCUUUUUUUGUUGUUGCUCUGCUCUCCUCAGACCGACCGACCGGACAGGCAGAGGCUCGAGAUGAAGUCCCGGUGUCUGACGGAACUAAAGCUCCUAAUAUGUUAAUGACCGUAGGGGAUGCCGGAAGGUACUGGCCCGGUUACUACCGGCCUCAGCUGCCACAGCACCAUAUGUCAACCAGGUUGGCCACGUGUAUAUCUAUUAAUCAAGAAGAUGUUUCAUCUUAGAAAACAACAACUCAUUAAACAAUAUCCAUUCCAGUUAAACCAGUAAUAACUACUAUCGCACCAGUAAUGGCGACACAAAUGCCAAAUAAAAAAUCAGACAUGGA